rnacentral:lncRNA from 1 species
GCUCACUUUAGCAUCGGACUUACAAAGGUUCAAAGAGACCACCUAGGAUUUUUUACCUUUCCCUUGCAGUGAGCAUUUUGCAUCCAUAUGUGACUUUAGCGGGUGGACACCUCGUAGGGUGCGUUAGACUGAACCUUACAAGAGUUCAUCAGCAUCUUGGAAGUGAGAGGAGUGUGCAGAGCAGGUGAUAGGCUGACUUGCCAGGAAAAACCACAGACCCAGGCUUCCACACCAGGCUCUGCUCUCAGCCACACACUUGAGCUCUGCUGUGACAUGUGCCACACCCAUGCAGGCAAACGCACCACACACACGCAUGCACGCGCCACGUAUGCACUCACCACACACAUGCACUCACAUGCCACGUGCAUACAUGCACCUGCAUGUGCAUGGGCACAAGGGCACACACACACGAGCUUGUGAGUCUGUAACCUGCUCUUCCUGUUUGAGAGGUGACUGUUCCACUGUGGACUGUCCUCUAUGGCCUGUUUUUGAUGCUUUCACCAAAGACGAACAACUGUCGAAUGAGGUAAAGAUUGAGACUGAUUAUCUAGCACCCUUGAUAAAUGUACAAAAUAACAUGGAUAAUCUCCAGGCUGCAGAGAUUCUGGGUGCCCUUGCUUGAAGGAAUAGACAUUUACAGUAGUGACUAUGUCUUGGUCUAAGAGUUAGAAAAGAACUGCCUCUUGGUCUAAAGGCAGAGAUUUUCUGAUUAUGGAUUGCAUAAUCAGAAAAUGAACAGUCUAAAGGAAGUCUGACUGUUGUUUCCAGUACAGGACAGCACAGUGUCUUCUCAGCCGUGUUUUCCAGUGAGGACGGUCUGAAGUAAAAACAGUGCUAUCAGGCCAGCCUUUCCAGGCCUUGGCCACUCCACUCAAGACAUUGUUUGACCCAGUGACCUCCAGUGUUGCUUUCUAAGCACUGGGCUCUAGUGAACACCGCUGAGCAGUGCGGGAGGUGCUGCCUGGCUGCCUCUAGUAUAGUGCAGAAACCAAGAAGCAUCUAAAGUUCCUAAAGGCUGCUCGGUUUUAACUUUGGGAAGUGUGGAGUUGAGGCCCCGACUGAGCAGAGCAUGAGCCGUCAGUGUAUCGAAGGCAGAACAGCAACGAGCCUUGAGGGAGACUCAUGUCUGCCCACAUUUUAAUCUUAAACUGUUUGGUAGAGGGAAUAUAGCUUUUUCUUUCUUCCUUGAGCCUGCAAAACUCUGCAUGCUCAGCUAUUGCCUGAGAAGAGAUAACUGCCUUGCAUAAUUGUAAGAUGUUCUGUAGUGUGCUAACCCAAAGGGCAGUGCUCUGAUUUUGAACAAUUGUGCCUUGUUUUCCAGAAGGGGAAUGUCUGGUGAAAGGCCGCUAGUGAGCAUGUGAUUGCUCUCUGAACGGAGCAUAUUUUGUGAGUUGGG